GGAGCAAAACAGGGAUUAGAUACCCUGGUAGUCCACGCCGUAAACGAUUGUCGACUUGGAGGUUGUGCCCUUGAGGCGUGGCUUCCGGAGCUAACGCGUUAAGUCGACCGCCUGGGGAGUACGGCCGCAAGGUUAAAACUCAAAUGAAUUGACGGGGGCCCGCACAAGCGGUGGAGCAUGUGGUUUAAUUCGAUGCAACGCGAAGAACCUUACCUACUCUUGACAUCCAGAGAACUUAGCAGAGAUGCUUUGGUGCCUUCGGGAACUCUGAGACAGGUGCUGCAUGGCUGUCGUCAGCUCGUGUUGUGAAAUGUUGGGUUAAGUCCCGCAACGAGCGCAACCCUUAUCCUUUGUUGCCAGCGGUUAGGCCGGGAACUCAAAGGAGACUGCCAGUGAUAAACUGGAGGAAGGUGGGGAUGACGUCAAGUCAUCAUGGCCCUUACGAGUAGGGCUACACACGUGCUACAAUGGCGCAUACAAAGAGAAGCGACCUCGCGAGAGCAAGCGGACCUCAUAAAGUGCGUCGUAGUCCGGAUUGGAGUCUGCAACUCGACUCCAUGAAGUCGGAAUCGCUAGUAAUC
rnacentral:rRNA from 1 species